CUGUAGAUUGACAUUGCAUAUUGCUGCCUAAUUUGUUGUCUAUAACAAUUCCCAAAUCCUUGUCAUGUGUGGUUAUCCGUAAUUCACUACCAUUUAGUGUGUAAGUUGCUUGUGCAUUCUUAACCCCGAAGUGCAUAACUUUGCAUUUCUCUAUGUUGAAUUUCAUCUGCCAUUUUAGUGCCCAGUCCCUCAAUCUAUCCAAAUCUCUC